rnacentral:tRNA from 1 species
AGUGACAUGGUUUAAACGCUUGCCUCGAAAGCAUGAGGUCCUGAGUUCAAACCCCAGUAUUGCCA